rnacentral:rRNA from 1 species
ACAAGUACCGUGAGGGAAAGAUGAAAAGAACCUUGAAAAGGGGGUUAAAAGUACGUGAAAUUGUUAUUAGGAAAGCACUUAGUCUCAUUGUGGAUUANAUCAGUCUGUUUCGGCAGAUACUGUCCUAAUUAGUUAUGAUCAGUUAGCGUUGAUAAAGAAAAUUUGUGAUAAGGUAUUAGUGUAGUGCUAAACUUAAAGAUCACUUAUUAUUUGUCGAUACUGACUGAGGAAUGCUACUUAAUCUUUUUGAGUANAUANUUUGUGGAGUUAGGUUAAACAACAUGUUGAUUAGCUUAAUUAAAGCGAUCUAUUUGCUUUAAAACUUAAGUACAGGAUCAUAAUUAAAUGAUACUAAAU